UCAGACCUCCCCCAAUUAUCAGUGACCACGAGAGAGUUGUAUAAUCUCCAUGACCUUCAGUUUUAUAAAAAUUGAGGUGAGGACGGUGGACUUAAGCUUUCUAAGGGGCUACUCCAGCUCUGUCUUGAGUACUACAAGGUGUCUGCUUGCUUUGUGAUCAAUGGAUGAGAAGAAUAAUCAGUAUAUGUCUAAGGCUACUGAUGCAGUGCUUACAUUUCAAUAAUGUGUCCAAAAGUGGCAGCAAAAGAAAUAUAACAGAUGAGAGGAAAGAAUAUUCCAGGUUGACGGAACAACUUGUACCAAGGCUCUGCACAAAAGUACACCUCUUAUAAAAGACUGAAAGAAGGCUAUUGUAGCUGGGGCACAAAAAGUGAGAAUCAUGAAGACAAAAUGAAAGGUGUGCAGUAGAGCAGCAUGCAAGAAACUUUGGAUGAACACAGAGAAUGGCUGUGGUACUAACCUUAAAAGAAGUGACAACAAGAGGUUUUCCAAGCACCCUUUAAACUCUCCAUGGGGAGAAGACAGAAACAUAAGUUCUAUUUCAUAAUCUGGAAUUUUCCUGUAAAAACAUUUAUGAAUCAAGUGCGAAGGUCUACAGAGCAUAAUCCACAGGCAAGUGAAAAAUGUUUUGGCCAAGUGACCCGAAUCAGCUGGCAGUUCACGCCCCAUGCAGAGGAAUUUGGAGUUGAUCCCUGUCCAGUUCAAGCCAGCUAAGACUGUUUGGGACCACCAACCCUAAAACGGGGCCUGUGUCUGAUAAAUGACCUUUUAGAUGCCAGAGGGCCAAAAACCUUACCCUCGCAGAUCAUGCAAAAGAGCCUCCGUUUUUUAACAUGCAUCCCGUGAAGAAGCAUUUAACUCAGAUAUGCCUGCACAGAACACCAAUGACUUCACCUUUUCCCUACUUCCAUUCACCUUUCCCCACACCUAAGCCCACCCUGCUUCUUUAUCCCAUAAAUAUCUCAAGCCCCUCACAAACAGGGAAGCAGAUCUGAUAUUAGUUCUCCCCUCUCCUCACUUGCCAACCUCAUGAAUAA